UGCACUCACUACUGUAAGUCGCUCUGGAUAAGAGCGUCUGCUAAAUCACUAACC
rfam:Salmo salar isolate Sally breed double haploid chromosome ssa12, whole genome shotgun sequence.